UAUUUGGAUGCAGUACUGUUCUCACUCAGAUCGAAAGUCCACACCUCCACCAAACACACCCCUUUCAUGUUGAUGUAUGGAAGGGAGGCAGUAUUCCCCUCAGAGGUUCCUGUGGAUGUGCCGUCUGAGGCACAAAAGAAGAUGGAGCGAAAC